GCGCUGUUGGUGUAGGGGUAACACACAACCUCAUCUUUGAUAGUUGGUGAAGGAAAUUUGGGUUGGGUGCUGGGUUCGAAUCCCGGACGGCGCG